rnacentral:lncRNA from 1 species
UUGGGAUUCUUACUGGGCUGGAAAAGCUCAUACUACACUUACAUUUUUUUUCAGAGGCACUGGAUUCGUAGAAUUUGUCGGGUGGGACAAGAAGUGAGCUAGAUAUAUCUUUUGCUAGAUAGAAGUUAAUUUAUCUUUUGCUUAUGGACAUUUGAAUUUAUGUAAUCAUUCAGUACAUUUUAGUUGGUUUGGUUUAAAUACAUUAAUUAUAGAUUUAUUGGAAUUUUUGUUAUCUUAGGCCUUGCAUGAUCCUUAGGGCACUGCUCUAGGGCUCAUGCGGCCGGUCACGUACCGAACCCGGGUGAUGGGUUCGGGGC